rnacentral:lncRNA from 1 species
AACCAGCUCAUUUUAGGAACCUAAUAAUUUAGAAAAUUUAAUCAAUUUAGAGAAGAGAGAAUAAGAGAUCAAUCAGUAGACCAUAAUCCUUCCACUGACUUCACCAAGUCACUGAAUAGGAUUAGAGUCAUGCUAAUUGAACUGACACCUAGAUCAGUCACACUGAUCAAUCUUAAUUGCAUAGGCUAACUUGAAUCACUUAACAAGCUAAUCAAAAUCUAAUUCACCAAAUUGGCUAGAUAAGUG